UGAAAGUUGCUUAUACCAUUCGUACAUUCAUAUCUCGUCGUCUCUCUCUUUCUUCCUCGCCGGCCACAGUUUCUCCUCUCUCUGAUUUCUUCAGAUCUGCGCUAGUCCGUCUACGAUCUCGCCGGUCCUCCUCCAUAUUUGAGCAGAUCGGCAGACGAUCUAUCGAUCGAGCAUGGGUUCGAGCUGCUUCCGUGGUGGUGAGGGCCGUACUGGUCCGGUGCUGCGUGCGGAUGCGUGGAAGGAGCUUUGGAUCGGAUUCUUUCCGAUCUUGUGUUCGUCUUGUGAUGAACGAAUCGGAGGAGGCCGGUCGAAUUUCGCCGGUGUUGAGGCGUGUCUGCAAGAAACCUAGUUCAGAGCAGGCUUUGUGCUUAUGGAGACGUGGAAAAGGAAGCUCCGUGAAGAUAGUUUGCUGUACAGGGUGCGGUUGCUUGAGCUCAUACUCCGGGCUGCUUCGUCGGGGUUGGCCGUGGCGGGAUCUUUUGGGAAGUGCUUGCAGUGACAGGCUUCGGGCUUGAGCUGAGGACGACGAGACUUUGAUCACCGGUCAACGGCGGAAAGAUUGGUUAGAUAUCUUGUUGUUGUCUUUGGAAUUAUGGAUUUACUCUGUCGCUGGUAAGUAAGAAAUGAAGAUGGGUGAUGAAGAUGUGAGCUGAGAGAGACAGUGAGGUCUUGUGUGGAAAGAAAAGAGAGUCUGUGAUCGACCUUUGCCAUGACAGGUGCGCUUGCAUGGCAGGUCAAAAGAAAACUAAUAAAAAUCGAUCAUCUUUGUGUUCUUCGGGGGAGAUGGCACGGGGAUUUGGUUCUUUGCCCCGGCUCUCUCCCGAUGUGGUGCCCUGUGUCUUCUCCUCUCCCUCUCUUCUUGCUCUUACUGCUGCUCGUGCCCCUCGAUUGGUUCUACGCAAACGAUUAUCCCCAGCAAACGUUUAAGUUUGUCUGCUAGUCGUAACUGCUGAAUCGCGGAACUGGGAAGACCCUUCAGAAAUUCGUCACCAAGGCAAGGUACCAUUUGAUAUGUCGUUAUCUAUUUUGGCAGUUCAUUCAUAGUUUGCCAUUAUCAGCGCCCUAUGCAUUCCAUCUCACUGAUUUGCAUGUUAAUCAUCAAGUCUGAUCUAGACAUACCUGACGUAACUUGCUCAAGAAAGAGUACAUGAUCCUAUUGACAGAUACGCUGAAUAUCUGGAUAUUGGUUAUAUUAAUUAAAACCUUGGUAUAAACAGGUGGCUCUGGCAUGAAUUCCUAAUGAUGCAGUAAGGAAGAAACUCUUUUUUUUUAAUUAUAUUGACUGGUUAUGAUUUGGUCUUUACCCUCUAAAAAGUUUUGGAAGUGGUUUUCCCAAGUUUGGAUGCUUGGUCGGUUGAAAUUGCGACAGCGAGGCAAUUGUGAGAAUAUUGUUCGACAUCUCAGUUGCCUGAUGGCCAUAUCCAGAUUGUUUUGCACGGCCUCUUUUAUGACCUUCAGAGUACAUCGCCAAACCACAGUGGCCCCAAUUCUGGGGCUGGUUGUGAAAAGUCUGAAUUAUGUGUCAAGCAACCGAUUGUCAGUGAAAAUCUAUUGAGCCAUGAUUUCCAAAAUUUGAAGAAGAAAGAUUGGCUUUGGCUGAAAUUAUUGUUAUAUAAGUCGUCCAAUGCAUAAUCAGACUUGCGAAAAGACUGAACCUUUAAUUUGAUCCAAUAUCUUCAAUUCUGGAAAUUCUCAUGCGUGAUUUGUUAUUGGUAAUUUUCCUGCUUAAAUUACAUCUUUGCAUUUAUCAUUGUUAAUAAUCGAUGUAGCAAUUCCAUGCAUGUAGAUGUCAUGUCCAGGAUCUUUGUAUAUUGUAAAAGUUGCAGCAUUGUAGGAGUCUGUAGAAGUGUUUGUACCAUGUUUAGGCAACUGAGCAGGUUCUAGUAUAAAAGUGGGGACUCUGGGGGAAGCUGUUUGCAAGGAUGAUCCUAUCAUUUGGAGGGGGUACUAGCAGUUGCUCUGGUAUCCACUCCAAAUCAUAGGAAUCAUAGGAUGAUACUAUUAUCUGGAAAGGUACCAGAGCAACUGCUGGAUGGAGUGCUGAUCAUUUUGAUUCCGGCGCAUGUGGGGAGCGCACUUGGAUGGAGUGGUGGCUAUCUGUUGACAUGGAAUUAACUCCUCUACUGCAGGAAAUGAUUCCUACUGUGAGGGGUGGAUGAACCAGAUUGAAGAAUGACCUCUGUCCUCUUUGCUGUUCAGAUGCAGUAGGCUCUAUGCUGCGAUGAAAUAAUCUUCACUGGGUUUGGCAAGGGCCAGAGGUCACGCUGACUAGUUUUCCGUCAGCCAAUUUGAGUCGGACCGACGAGCUGCUCUUAGGAAGACCAAAAUGAAGAAAGUGUUUGGCUUCUGGGAGCAUCUGUCCGGGUGCAUUUCAACCAAAUCAUUAUACUACGACGACCUCCGAGAGAGCAAAGAUUUUGGAAAGCCUGAUGAUUAUGCUUUGUCAUCAAGAUCUGUCACUUUCUGCUUGAUGGUUUGAUGUCCUUCCUUCUCUGUUCUAGUCUUCCUUGUCGAAGUUUUUGAUGUUUACAACUUGAGCUAUUAUUACUACUGUGCAUUAUAUAUGGGCGUGAGGGCGACUUCAUUAUGGUUGCCGUGCUGCCUUGCCCUGAAUGUUUUUAGUAGAUUCCUAUCAGCAAGAGUAGCUGGUGUGAUUUUUAACUAGGAUUUUACUUCUUUGUUUAUCUACUGGGGGUUUUUUGGGUGAGAGAAGAACGACCUUUAUAUGGACGGGAUAUUUUUUGGAUGAGAGGAGGGCCACCUUUAUGUGGACAACGUGCCCUAUUGAAUACAAGCAGCUUAUCUUGUUCUAUUUUGAGUUGCGAAAA